ensembl:misc_RNA 7SK 7SK RNA
GGAUGUGAGGGCUAUCUGGCUGUGACAUCUUUCACCCCAUUGAUCACUAGGGUUGAUUUGGCUGAUCUGGCUGGCUAGGCGGGUGUCCCUUUCCUCCCUCACUACUUCAUGUGUGUUCCUCACAAAGCUGUGUGCUCUGUCAAAGAGGGCGACCUUCCCCAAUGAAGGAGUAUAGUUCUCUGUCAAGGGUAUACAAGUAGCUGUGCUCCCCUGCUAGAACCCCCAAACAAGCUCUCAAGGUCCAUUUAUAGGAGAACAGGGUAGUCAAAAUUCCAAGAUUCCAGACACAUCCAAAUGAGGUGCUGCAUGUGGCAGUCUGCCUUUCUUA